rnacentral:rRNA from 1 species
UACGGGGGGGGCAAGCGUUGUUCGGAAUUACUGGGCGUAAAGCGCGCGUAGGCGGCUUUGUAAGUUAGAGGUGAAAGCCCGGAGCUCAACCUCCGGAACUGCCUUUAAGACUGCAUCGCUAGAAUUGUGGAGAGGUGAGUGGAAUUCCGAGUGUAGAGGUGAAAUUCGUAGAUAUUCGGAAGAACACCAGUGGCGAAGGCGGCUCACUGGACUGGUAUUGACGCUGAGGUGCGAAAGCGUGGGGAGCAAACAGG